AGUGAACGCUGGCGGCAGGCCUAACACAUGCAAGUCGAACGGCAGCACAAGAGAGCUUGCUCUCUGGGUGGCGAGUGGCGGACGGGUGAGGAAUGCAUCGGAAUCUGCCCAUUUGUGGGGGAUAACCUCGGGAAACCGGGACUAAUACCGCAUACGACCUACGGGUGAAAGCAGGGGAUCUUCGGACCUUGCGCAGAUGGAUGAGCCGAUGCCGGAUUAGCUAGUUGGAGGGGUAAAGGCCCACCAAGGCGGCGAUCCGUAGCUGGUCUGAGAGGAUGAUCAGCCACACUGGGACUGAGACACGGCCCAGACUCCUACGGGAGGCAGCAGUGGGGAAUAUUGGACAAUGGGCGCAAGCCUGAUCCAGCCAUGCCGCGUGUGUGAAGAAGGCCUUCGGGUUGUAAAGCACUUUUGUUGGGAAAGAAAAGCAGCCGGUUAAUACCCGGUUGUCAUGACGGUACCCAAAGAAUAAGCACCGGCUAACUUCGUG
rnacentral:rRNA from 1 species